rnacentral:rRNA from 1 species
UGCGUAGGCGGACUUUCAAGUCGGGUGUGAAAUCCAUAGGCUCAACUUAUGGCUUGCACUCGAUACUGUUGGUCUUGAGUAUAUCAGAGGAAAGCGGAAUUCCAGGUGUAGCGGUGAAAUGCGUUAGAUAUCUGGAGGAACACCAGUAGCGAAGGCGGCUUUCUGGGGUAAUACUGACGCUGAAGCACGAAGGCUAGGGGAGCAAACA